GAUGAACGCUGGCGGCGUGCCUAAUACAUGCAAGUCGAGCGAACGGACGAGAAGCUUGCUUCUCUGAUGUUAGCGGCGGACGGGUGAGUAACACGUGGAUAACCUACCUAUAAGACUGGGAUAACUUCGGGAAACCGGAGCUAAUACCGGAUAAUAUUUUGAACCGCAUGGUUCAAAAGUGAAAGACGGUCUUGCUGUCACUUAUAGAUGGAUCCGCGCUGCAUUAGCUAGUUGGUAAGGUAACGGCUUACCAAGGCAACGAUGCAUAGCCGACCUGAGAGAGUGAUCGGCCACACUGGAACUGAGACACGGUCCAGACUCCUACGGGAGGCAGCAGUAGGGAAUCUUCCGCAAUGGGCGAAAGCCUAACGGAGCAACGCCGCGUGAGUGAUGAAGGUCUUCGGAUCGUAAAACUCUGUUAUUAGGGAAGAACAUAUGUGUAAGUAACUGUGCACAUCUUGACGGUACCUAAUCAGAAAGCCACGGCUAACUACGUG
rnacentral:rRNA from 1 species